rnacentral:rRNA from 1 species
GACGAACCGUGCGAACGUUGUUCGGAAUCACUGGGCUUAAAGGGCGCGUAGGCGGGUUCGCAAGUCUGUGGUGAAGGCCUCCAGCUUAACUGGAGAAGUGCCAUGGAUACUGCGCAUCUUGAGGAGGGUAGGGGCGUCUGGAACGGUCGGUGGAGCGGUGAAAUGCGUUGAUAUCGACCGGAACUCCGGUGGCGAAGGCGAGGCGCUGGACCCUUUCUGACGCUGAGGCGCGAAAGCCAGGGGAGCAAACGGG